AGACUUGCCUCAGGCAUUGAUGGCAUUCCUGUUUAAGUGAAGGUGACAAAGCAUCCCUGGAACCGUGUCCCUAAUCACAGUGAUAAGAAGCAGUCUGUAACUCUCUGUGGGAAAUAGCUUUUGGGAGGAUGGCAGCAAGUUGAGAGGGAGAGAAAGAAGAUGAGAAGCAUAACCUCUGUCAAACUGGCUGAGCAUCGAAAAUGAUUUUCCUUGGAAGCCCAUCUGUUUUCAUCUGAUGAUGUAGUGUCUGGGGACAGCAGCCGAUGUUUGGGGGAUUCCAGCGCUGCCAGCACACAUCCAGAUAAUGAAUGAAGGAUAACCAGGCCAAGACUUCCUGUUCCAUGUACAGAUGCUGGUUUGAAUGCUAAUCAUUUUAUAAAAGGAACAGGAGCUAAAUUAUCAAUAAUGUUUAUGAGGAAAAGGAAUUAUUGUAGUUUUUGAAUUUGGAGUAAUUUCCAAAAAAAAAAAAAAAAA